UGGUACUAAGUGAGAGCUAAGGGUAUAAUUAAUGUGUGUCCCAUUAUAAACUUAAAGAGGGGCUACUGAUGCAUUGUUUUAGUUCUUCACAUACCCUUUUUUCUUGGGAGCUAAAUAAUUUGUUGGAACUUUUAAGAGCAUAGUGCAUAAACAAGAAGAAAUGGACAAAAGAUGCACAUCUACAUAAACAUUAGCCCCUUCCCAGCAAAUGAAUCCAAAAGAAUGGGGAAAAAUAGAAUCCCUACUUCAUCCAACAAGGAAACCCCAGGAUAAAUGGAUCUUAUAAUCAAGUUUUUGACACAACCUCAAAACUAAUUCAGUUAAGCCCCUUUCGGAUGCACUGUUGAUGGAAAAGAAGACUGCCCACUGUCAGCUUUCAGAAUGAAAGGAAUUGGCAACUUAAGCCACCAAUUUCAACUGAACAAAGAAGCAACUGACACAAGCAAAAGAAUAGAGAAAUGAUGAGCCACAAUUCAGGUGACAACAGAAAAUGACAGGGAAAUGCUUCAAUGUCUCCUUUUUCUCUUCUUUUUCUGUUGAUUUCUGCCUUUAAAAUUCCUAUCUGGCUAGAAACCAUUCAAAGGUCUUUACACAUAUAGCAUUUAUUUGGUGUACACUAAUCUAGACUGAUUAUAGCAUUUAUUUGGUGUACACUAAUCUAGACUGAUUAAGAUUCUAAGUGGUCAACUGUCACUUAAAGAUUUUAUCCAUGCAACAACCUCACUAAAAUACCAAUUUAAAAGGAACUCUUUUUUUUUAUUUUUUAUUGGUAAAUAUCCAUUGAAUUAAUAGUGCCUAACAAAAGAGCACAUUGAAGUAUACACAGUGUAAACAAAGACACCACAAGGCCGUACCAAGUGGACAGAUACAUGAAAAACAACCCUCAUCCACUACAUUGAGCUCAGCCAAUCAAUUAAGUCCAAAAUGGACGAGGAAACAAUUCCCAUGUACACUCCAGCACAUUCCAUUAUAUAUAAAUGAUUAUUUUAGUGCUUGAUCUACUUUUUUAGUAUUCUCAAAUGCUCGCCUAUUUCACUCCUUCCAUAUGAUCCAAGAUGGGCACAAGGGAGCAACUCUCCAAGCUGUCUUCCUCUUGCUCCCUACAAAAGAUCCAUGCCAACUUAGGAGGGCCUUCUUUAAUUGAGGAGUGCAUUACCUACUCGACUCCAAACAUAGCAAAAAUCAAUGGCAACAAGAUUACCCCUUUUGAGCGAUGAAGGGGAAUAUGAUUCAUUGUUUCGUCUCCCUCUUUGCACAUAUAACAUCUAUGCAAAAUCAUAACCCCCUCCUCCCUUUAGGCUAGUCCAACUUCAAUAUCCUACCCCAAACAACCUCCCAAGCAAAAAAAAAUGGACUCUCAUUGGAGCCCAAGAGUUUCAAGUAAUGUUGUAGGUGAAGGUCUCUAUUCUUUCAAUGGACAAAGGCGAGUAGAGUGAUUUAAUUGAAAAAAAUGUCACAUUUCAAGAUUUGCCAUACCAUUUAUCCACAAUGUCCCCAUCAAUAGAUUGUGAUUGCAAUGGCCUAAAAAAAGCCUUUAUCUACUCUAACCCCCAAACAUGGAGUUGUCCAUAGAGUCGAGGGUUCUAACAUCCCUUGUCCCCUUCCUCAUCCCUCACUUCCACAGCUAAGCAUCUUUGGUGUUGACCAUAUAAAACAAAGUAGGAAAAGCCUCCUUAAGGGACAAAUCCCCA
rnacentral:lncRNA from 1 species